rfam:Punica granatum cultivar Dabenzi scaffold189, whole genome shotgun sequence.
GGGAAACAUUUAUGAGCUGAGAUGUUUACCUGAUACAAUCUUCCAACAGCAAAACUCUGAAUUUCCUGCUUGCAAAACUAGAGCUGGUCAUGCAAGUCUCAUAAUAUCAGAGACAGAG